rnacentral:rRNA from 1 species
GACGGAGGGCGCAAGCGUUGUUCGGAAUUACUGGGCGUAAAGCGCACGCAGGCGGUCCCUUAAGUCCACUGUUAAAUCCCGGGGCUCAACCCCGGAGGUGCAGUGGAUACUGAGGGACUGGAGACCGGUAGAGGCUAGCGGAAUUCCUGGUGUAGCGGUGGAAUGCGUAGAUAUCAGGAGGAACACCGGUGGCGAAGGCGGCUAGCUGGGCCGGUUCUGACGCUCAUGUGCGAAAGCGUGGGGAGCAAACAGG